rnacentral:rRNA from 1 species
GAUGAACGCUGGCGGCGUGCCUAAUACAUGCAAGUCGAGCGAACAGACGAGGAGCUUGCUCCUCUGACGUCAGCGGCGGACGGGUGAGUAACACGUGGAUAACCUACCUAUAAGACUGGGAUAACUUCGGGAAACCGGAGCUAAUACCGGAUAAUAUAUUGAACCGCAUGGUUCAAUAGUGAAAGACGGUUUUGCUGUCACUUAUAGAUGGAUCCGCGCCGCAUUAACUAGUUGGUAAGGUAACGGCUUACCAAGGCAACGAUGCGUAGCCGACCUGAGAGGGUGAUCGGCCACACUGGAACUGAGACACGGUCCAGACUCCUACGGGAGGCAGCAGUAGGGAAUCUUCCGCAAUGGGCGAAAGCCUGACGGAGCAACGCCGCGUGAGUGAUGAAGGUCUUCGGAUCGUAAAACUCUGUUAUUAGGGAAGAACAAAUGUGUAAGUAACUAUGCACGUCUUGACGGUACCUAAUCAGAAAGCCACGGCUAACUACGUG